rnacentral:rRNA from 1 species
AACUAACGCUGGCGGCGUGCCUAACACAUGCAAGUCGUACGAGAAAGUCGGCUUCGGCUGAUGAGUAAAGUGGCGCACGGGUGAGUAACGCGUGGAUAAUCUGCCUUUUAGUUGGGAAUAACGUACCGAAAGGUGCGCUAAUACCGGAUAAUACUGCAUAACUACUGUUGUGUAGUCAAAGAAGGCCUCUGUUUACAAGCUUUUGCUGAAAGAUGAGUCCGCGUACCAUUAGCUAGUUGGUAGGGUAAUGGCCUACCAAGGCUACGAUGGUUAGCUGGUCUGAGAGGAUGAUCAGCCACACUGGAACUGAGACACGGUCCAGACUCCUACGGGAGGCAGCAGUGAGGAAUAUUGCGCAAUGGGGGCAACCCUGACGCAGCAACGCCGCGUGAGUGAGGAAGGUUUUCGGAUUGUAAACUUCUUUGACAGGGGAAGAAGGGAAGUGACGGUACCCUGAGAACAAGCUCCGGCUAACUACGUGCCAGCAGCCGCGGUAAG